AGAUGGUUGUGAGCCACCAUAUGGUUGCUGGGAAUUGAACUCAGGACCUCUGGAAGAGCAGCCAGUGCUCUUAACCUCUGAGCCAUCUCUCCAGCCCCGACCCCUCAUAUUUUAACCUGUGUCAACUCCCAUACCACUUCCCUGUCGGCCACACUAUGGGUAUUUCCUGUGGAAUGUCCAGUGUUCCAAAUGGGUGGACAUAUGGUGAUUUCAUCAUCCUGACUUUUCUUUCCAAAUCCUCCCCUGUGCUGCUCCAGCUCACCACAGGGGCUCCCACGCUCUGCUCAGCUGCAGCUCAUGUGGUUUUGCAAUUACCCGUCUCUCUGGGUGCACAGGAAGCCAGGCCAGAGCCCCCUUACCUUGCACCCCUGCAGCUCAUUGGCGCCACCCUGUCUGAGCUGCUUCAGGGAAGGGUGGGUCCCUCUGUUUUAUUCUGCGUGUUGGGUGGGAUACCAUGUUCCCCACAUCCCCUACCCCCCUGAGUAGCCCUACCCAAGGUGCUCAGGGGAGGAAGCUGAGCACAGGUUUUUUUGGAGCCCAAAGAAUAGGCUUAGAAAGCAAAAGUCAGGCUCCACUCCAGCAAGUAGCAGAGUUAGAAUUUAAACAUACAGCUGCUUGGUCAAUUCUACUGUUUGAACGCUGACAGUUGACAACUGAUUCAUUUAUUUUUUUAUUUGCAGUGUUGGGGGAUUAAAUCCAGUGUCUCAUGAGCGCUGUAUAUACAGCUUUAAAGCAUGCAUAUGUGCAGAUUAUUUAUGUAUAAGUACAAGUAUAUGCCAGUGUUCUUCCUCAUAUACCAUUCACCUUGUUUUCAGACAGGGUCUCUCAUGGGCUUGGCUGGCUGGCUGGCUGACCAGCCACGGAGUCUGCACGUCUCUGCCUCCCCAGUACAGGAAUCCCAAGCAUGCACGGCCACAUUGGCUUUUAGGAGGGUUCUGGGGAUUGAACUCACGUUUUCACACUUGCCAUUACCCCAGCCUAGCUUGGAAGCUUUGAUUUUGAAAGCAGAGAACAGGAAUGGUGGUUGGUUGUCCUCCUUUAUUAUUAUUUUAGGUGUGUGGGUGGUUUGCCUGCAUGUCUGUGUACCACAUUUGAAGCCUGAACUGGAGUUAUAGACAGCUGUGAGCCUCCAUGUGAGUGUUGGUGAUCUGACCUGGGGCCUUUAGAAGAGCAGCCAGCGCUCCAGACUGCCAAACCCUCUCUCCAGCCCUCCAUCCCCAUCGUCCUCUUACCAUCCCACUGGCCUUGGGCAUAUCCUAUGACCAGGUGCCAAGUGCUGGGACUAUGACUGUGCACAUCAAGUUCCGUUUCCAGAUAGUCUUGCCACUGCACAGCAGGUGUGAGGUCAUGGGCUCCUUGGGGGACCCCUUGCAAAGGCUCCAGGGCCAGGGAAAGACAAUGGAGCAUGAAAAGCUUUGGCACAAUUAAACUUUCUUUAAUGCAA